rnacentral:rRNA from 1 species
UACAGAGGGCCCAAGCGUUGUUCGGAUUCACUGGGCGUAAAGGGUGCGUAGGUGGCGGGGUAAGUCGGAUGUGAAAGCUCGGAGCUCAACUCCGAAAUGGCAUUGGAAACUACCUUGCUCGAGGGUUGGAGGGGGGACUGGAAUUCUCGGUGUAGCAGUGAAAUGCGUAGAUAUCGAGAGGAACACCAGUGGCGAAGGCGAGUCCCUGGACAACUCCUGACACUGAGGCACGAAAGCUAGGGGAGCAAACAGG